CACGUAGGAGGCGAGCGUUGUCCGGAAUCAUUGGGCGUAAAGAGCGCGCAGGCGGCUUGGCAAGUCGGGUGUGAAAUCCCGGGGCUCAACCCCGUGACUGCAUCCGAUACUGUCAGGCUAGAGGUAGGUAGGGGAGAUCGGAAUUCCUGGUGUAGCGGUGAAAUGCGCAGAUAUCAGGAGGAACACCGGUGGCGAAGGCGGAAUCUCUGGGCCUUACCUGACGCUCAGGGGCGAAAGCGUGGGGAGCAAACCGG
rnacentral:rRNA from 1 species